UAAAACAGUAAAGCCUCCGACAUACUUUGUUUUUCAAUAAACAUUUUUUAAUUAUUUUUUGGAAUUUUUUUAUGACACUUUAAUGCGAGUCCGAAAUUGCAUUGAUUUCUCGGAAUUCUUCUCUGAUCACAAAAGAAAAUAUUCUGCAAGGGGAGGGCACAAAAUCAAAGCUUCAAGAGCUAUAUAAAGCGCAGAUUCCUCAAACAGUUCCAUAGUAAAACUCAAGUGAAGUAGACAGAAUGAAAAAUCUCUAUAUACUUUUUGGUCUCCUUGUAUUGGCAGGAUUCCAAUUUGUGGCAGGUGAGACCUUUGUAGAUCACAGGGGUAAAUAUAUUCACAUAUCACCUAGACACCCAACAAAACAAAGUUGGGAGACGAGGCCCAAACGAGUUUUUACCUGAGGAUUUUCAAAGAAAUCAUUCCUUGCUGAGUUUCGUAAUGCAAUUUAAGUGAAGAUGUCCAAUGAGAAACCUUUAUAUCCUUUUUUUCUUUAUAUAUGGCCAGGACUAUCGUCUAAAUCUGCAUAUCUCCACUUCCCAAAAGGAAUUAGGGAUCACACUGGACGCAUUCAUAAUAAAUACGCAACUCACACGCUCAAACCAAAUAACACUCGAAGAUAUACAAAGAAUUCGGGAGGAGAGGCCUGAAACUGAGC